rnacentral:rRNA from 1 species
AGUUGCCAGCGGUUCGGCCGGGCACUCUAACGGGACUGCCCGCGAAGCGGGAGGAAGGAGGGGACGGACGUCUGGUCAGCAUGGCCCUUACGGCCUGGGCGACACACGUGCUACAAUGCCCACUACAAAGCGAUGCCACCCGGCAACGGGGAGCUAAUCGCAAAAAGGUGGGCCCAGUUCGGAUUGGGGUCUGCAACCCGACCCCCAUGAAGCCGGAAUCGCUAGUAAUCGCGGAUCAGCCAUGCCGCGGUGAAUACGUUCCCGGGCCUU